GUCGAAUAUAAAAUAAGAUAUACGUAAACAUAAGAGCAUGAUUAACUGUGGGUCUAAAUGGAAGUCUAAGGUCCAAAAAAUCCAAAAAAUAAAUCCAAACUAAAUAAAAGCAAUGGAUCUGAUCCAAUUUUAGAUCUUUAGAUCAGCUUUGGAUCUGUGUACGUGUUGGUACGUGGUUGGUCGAGAUUUAGUAUUACGACUGAUUUUUUUUUCUCUGUGUUUUCUCUUUCGCCAAACCACGGAGAUAUCACUGAAAUCGAAAGCAAACUGCGGAGAACUACUGACAUCGGAGUCCUCGAUCCGCCGACAUCAUCAUCUCCACGGAUGCAUAGCACGAUCGGCGCCUUUGAUUCAGCAAAUCGAUCCCUUUUAUGUGUAGGAAACUUAUUGAUUUCACGGGCAGAGGAGUUGAAAAACCAGGCUAACGAAGCUUUUAAAGCCAUAAUUGCUUGUUAAUUCAUGUGUAGACAGGCUCUUCUGAAUAAGAUUUGGAGUUUAAUGGCCGAAUUGACGAACCCCAUGUCAAGAGAAGGUCAAGGACCUUGCUUGGGAUCCUAUGGUUAGUUCUUAUGGCCCUGAUGAAGGUCUUCUGGAGUUAAGACAGACUCUUCUGAAUAAGCUGCGUGAAGAAAACAAGCUAACCCAAUCACAAGUGAUGGUUACUGCAGGCGUUUGUGAACCUUUUGCUAGUCUUGAUUAUGUAUGUCAAGUUAUAUAUUCAAGUCACUUGCAACACAAUUAACUAAUACACAUUUUUUCAAAUUUUGAAAUUUUUAGAUCCUCAUUUGAUGGAUCUACUAUUGGACUGUCAAAAUUUUAAAACACUCAAAAGUGUCUAAAUUUCAGAUUUUGUAUUAUUUACAAUUAUAUAUAUGAUUUGGACUCAUAAUGUGAGUCCAACCAAUAA